ensembl:lncRNA
UGUGGUUUCGCUGGGGUUGCUUUGAGUGCAAAGGGCUGUGGAAGUUCUUUACCACGAGACUGAAGUGCUGGAACAGGCUGCCCAGAGAUGCUAUGGGUGCCCCGUCCCUGGAGGUGUUCAAGGCCAGUCAAGUCACAACCCCAGUCUUCAUAGUAAAGGACGAAUAAACAGCUUUAGUACUCCAUUUGCUUGCCUUUAGCCGAACUUGCAAGAGAAGAUACACACUUUGCAGUGACCCAGCAAGAAAAGCAGCUGGCAGCUCAGGAGACAGGCACCAAUAUGCACCAGUCAUUGACAACGUGCUCAGAACACGGCCAACUUCAUUGUAAAGGUGCGGCUCAAUGUGGAGUCACAUAUGUUGCCCACAAUCAGCACCACUGUGUGGUAUUGCAGAGAGGUUUUGGUAAGCAUGACUUCGCUUCACUUUGGAGAAGGCCGAGUCGGAAGAGUCACCACAAACGUGCACCAAACGACAGAUCUGUAGCGAGGCUCUACAGGCCUGAAACACGGGGUGAACUGCAUCGCGGUGAAGCCCAUCAGGGUACUGUGAGCACUGAAACAGGCUGCCCGGGGCAGUGGGCACGGCCCCGAGCUGUCAGAGUUCAAAAAGCGUCUGGAGAACGCGUAGGAAGGUGCGCGCGUAACACGACGCGUGGCCGUGAGGGCCGUGAGGGCCCCGCGGGGCCUUGCCGGGGCCACCGCCGUGCAGUGCUGCCGAAGCGCCACCAGAGGGCGGCAGAGCGCGGCUCCCGCCGGUGCCUCCCGGUAUCCCCGCGCUGUGCCGGCGGCAGGGGGCACGCGGGCCGCCCUCUGCGCCUCGGAGCAAUCAGCAAGAGCCUUGACAAGUGCUGCCAUAAGGAUCUGACUAUCUGGCUUUUUUGAAUGAUUCCUGAAGGCUGCGAUUCAAUGUCUCCGUGUAAUGGAAUUGAUUUCCUUCAGUUAAGUUGGUUUCUCCCUUGGUUUUCUGUGAUGGCUUUAACCUGCAGCGCCAUGAGCAGGCAAUCUGAAGGCUGUGGUUGGUGACUCAUGCCAUUAGUUUUGCCUCUGGCAUUGCUACGGAAAAUCCAUUUCCGUCCAAACUGAAGCUGUCUGUUGAGCGUUAUGUAGUGUGCUGCCUUCGUUUUCUUUUCAAUGAAAAGCUCUUCCAUCUAGAAAUACACGUUCAGACUCUUGCAUUCCAGGUAUGUUUCUGGGGAAGACUGGAAAUACUUUUAACCUUCUCCUCACGGAAUGUAUGAAGGCUGCUCCGAAAGUAAUGCCUCCUAUUUAUUCCCAUGGAAACUGCAACAGUUACAAAGAGUACAAUAACACCGUUUGAUAGAACAAAUUCUCAGCUACAAAGCACUAUUUUUCAACAUGGUCGCCAUCAUUAGCUAUGCAUUUUCAUCCGUGAUGCACAAGAGCCUGUCCAGAACAUAGCUUAUCUUUCACGUUGCUGUUGAAAUGCACCACGCACCCACUCACUGUUCUCACAUCCACUGUUUUGUCUCCAUAAAUGUUCAGCAAGCGUCCAUGAAUGUCAGUGGGUGCCAUUUUUUCUGCGUGGAGAAAUCUGAUGAGACACCUUUCUUUCAUCCACCCUGCCUUGUCACAGACCAUUGUGUACGACUGUCCCUCUGCUGCCAUCUGUCACAUGGCAAUAACAUGUAACAGAAUAUUGGUAGGAAGGUUCAACCUCCACUGCCGUACCACCAGCAUCCACCUCUGAUAUUGUGGGCCAACAUAAUAAAAUAGGAGGCAUUACUUUUGGAGCAGGCCUUGCAUUUAGGGAGACAUUCCUCAAGGACCAGUUUGACAUGGAUGCGUGAGGCAGGAAUUCAUGAAUUUCACCGUGUCGAACAUCCAGGUCUUGGUGCCUGUGAGAUGAGUUUUCUCUUCUAAACAGUGGAAGUUAUCUCCUCUCCGCCUUCUUUCUGCCUGCCUUUCAUCCCAGCAAGGCAGGAAACUGGCUUUGCUAAUUCUUUAGAGAUCUCUGUGGCUUCCUAUCACUUACCUACCAGGUCUUUCUCCAGUAAUCUAUGAAGUCUUCUGUGAUGACAAGUGAGAAAUCUGGUGAUUGCUGCACAUCAGGUAUCAGUCGUGGAAGGCACACUCUGGUCUGGGAGCUGGAGGCAGGAAGCUCCUUGGCCUGUAAUCCUACAUUUCUACUUUAACAGCACAUACAAUUUGAGAUAGCUGUGAGCAAACGAAGCUGAAGGUUGGAAUUCAUGAAAAGAGAAGCGUUGUUUUUGCUAAUUGGCUAACAUCUGAAGGGUUUGGCAAUGUGAUUACCAGCUGCUAUAGUCUGCAAUUGAUGUCACCUUCUCUUUGUAUAUAAACAUUAGUCAUUUGCUAAAGAAUGUGAAAAACAGGUGUUCCCUGUUCAUUGGAAACCUAUUCUUUUAAUGGGAUACUAUAAGAUAGCACCUGACAUAGAACAAUCCCUCGUAUGUUUGCUGUUAUUAACAUAAACACACUUGAACAGUUCCUUAUGCGGUGCCAUUGGUAUGCGUAGCACAGCAAAGAUAAACAAAAUGACAGAUGCCUAAACCAGAUGAAACUACAAUUAACCUAAUGACAGACAAAAAUAAAGGAAGUGUGGCAGGAAAAUGUGAAGGAACAUAAAAAUCACUGCAAGCUGCACUCGUUAGCUUUGUUUUUUUCUUUUUAAAGAAGUACUUCUACAGUUUGUAGCCAAUACAGGAAGUGAAGGUUGAAGCUGUAACCUUGCAGAGGGAAAUUUGGCUUCCAGACGUGACUCUUUGAAAAGGUUUUGGAAUACAGGAGUGCUCUGCAUACAGGAUGAGAAAAGACAUUGAAGAAUAAGCAGUAUGCAUGGAAAAUAACCCACAGUGAUUAGCGGAAAAAGGGAAUAAAGCUAUGUCCCAUAGGCGUGCCCUCUGGAGAGCUUCAACUCAACCUUCUUAUCAGCUGUAGAGCGCAGCAGGAAAAUUGGUACUGUGGCUCUGUAUGCACUCAAACUGGUACGUUUAGCUUGAAUUUCCAUGAACAGAUUUCUUUAGAAAAUUUCAAAUUUGUGCACAGGAUUAAAUUCAAUAGGCAUUAAAUAAAAUAUACCUAAAUGAGAACGUAAUAAAAAGCAGUUAUUUGUCUACAGCAAGCUUUAAACGUUCCCAAGCAGCGUGCUCAAGGACAUUCACAUGGAGCUGCUUUGGCAGAGCAGAGGCUCGCUAGUCAGAACAAGGCUCCCUGCUUCCAUCAGUAGAGCUGCUGAGUGCAGGCAGAGCACUGGAUUCACCCAGUGGGCUCUGGGUGCCCCAAGCCAGCCCAAGGCCAGCAGCUCAGCUCCCGCUCUCACACCCCCAUGGGAUCCAGUUAUCAUAAAACUGUGUUCUGAAGAUAAAAAAUGAUCCAAGGGAUGGAACAUCUCCCCUAUGAGGACAGGCUGAGGGAGUUGAGGAUUUUCAGCCUGGAGAAGAGAAGGCUCCAGGGAGACCUGGUAGUGGCCUUUGAGUAUCAAAAGAGGGGCUGUAAGAAAGAAGGGAACAGACUCUUUUGCGGGGUCUGCUGUGAUAGAAAAUGGGAAAAUGGUUUCAAACUAAAAGAGGGAAUAUAAGGAAGAAGCUUUUAAGAAUAAGGAUGGUGAGGCACUGGCACAGGUUGCUCAGAGAGGUGGCGGAUGCCCCAUCCCUGGAGAUACUCAAGCUGAGGCUGAAUGGGGCUCUGAGCACCUGAUGGAGCUGUAGGUGUGCCUGUCCAUUGCUGGGGAGUUGGACUUGAUGGCCUUUAAGGGUCCCUUCCAACUUAACGCAUUCUAAGAUUUAUGAAGAUUAGAGGGGAAGCUUUGAAGAUUGAGGUUACAAUGAGAUGAGGCAUGCUCAGAACAACACAGUUCCAAAUUAAAAGUAAGGUUAAUUUUUGUUCUCGUAAUCAGAGUUACGUUUUUAAUGCAGGAGAUAGACAACUACCUAACAGUGCGGAACGCUCAGCUGCGGGUGAGCAAUCAAGCAGUGCCCCAGUAGAGCUAAAACAUUUUGCUGGGUUUGUGACAGCAUCUUUUUUUUCUCUUUUUUUUUUUUGGUCUGUCACAAAUUGCCAUCGUCUCACAGCCAAAAUUGUUGGAAUUUUUUCCAUUGUGCACGAAGCAUUUUUAAACAAUAAUUCCAUCUAUUCUUAGCGAGAUGUUCUUUGGUGUGAAUUCUAUCUAUUGUUAGAAAGUGCUUUUGAGAAAAUAUGAUUCUAAUCUUAUGGCUUUUUGCCUUGAUAUCAAGAGACUUACUACCAAAUAUGCAGUCAUAUCUUUUGUUAAUAGAACCAAGUUACAGGAUCUAUUCAUAGAGCAGUAAUAAAUAAUGGUGGCAGCGGGGAGGGAUAUAUGUCAUUUUAGUUCUAGAAAACUGAUACUCCCAAAGGAUAAUGAUAUGAGGAAAAUUAGCUGCUGUCAACCUAGUUCAUAUAUAGUCUGUAUUGUAGGGAAAAAAGAAUGUAUUGGAAUAAACUCUGUGGAAAGAAAAAUGACAUUUAUAAGUAAGUUUUUCCAGCCAAAAGCCAUUUUUUUUCUAUUUCAGCCCCAAAGUGCACCCCUGACAUUUGCAUCGAGGGGCAUAUUUAGAUAUUUAGUGCAGUACAGUCCCAAAACUUUAUCAGAACGUUGGAAGCUGUUGUAAACAAGGAAACCAAAGUCAGGAGUCUCGCAGCAGAAAAGAGAACACCACCUGAAAUGGUUGCUGCUCAGUGUCUAGGCUUUCCUUUAUUCCCACAGCAGAGUACAGGCCAUGCUAAGCAAGCUGAUCAAAACUGCAGAGGAGCUAGUGGUGGGAGAAAAACACAUCAUCAUAAUGUAUGCCAAGUGGAGGGUGGCAGGGAGACCCAACGGAGUGCCGUGCCUUUCACAUACACAACUUUCACAUUCUGAAUAAUUGUAACUUCCCUCAGUGUGACUCCCACAUUGCUCUAUCAGACCUGAUAAUGAAGUUAAAUCAGUCCAAUCCUCGAUCUCCGAUUUAGGCAGAUGUUAAAAUGGUAUCUCACCGCUUCUCAUGCACAUCUCAUGCGCUGUUUUUGGGGUGUUUGGGUUUUUUGUGCUGAUUUGGUUCCAGGGAACAUGCAACGACCUACAGAUUUGUUUCCCUAAUCGUGUCAGCUAUUGGCAGUACUGGUGUCCAAGACCUGUAAACCAAGGAAUAGUUUUGUGUGCAGCCCACUUUUUGAGGACAGCCAGGCCAGAAAGCUGUGCAUGGCAGACUGGAUGUCUGUAGGAGCCAGCAACUGUGAAUACAAAAAAGCUGCAGUCCCUCAACUUCUCCCCACAGGUUUCCCCUGGCAAUCCUGGCAUUGGAUCUUGUGAAGGAAACACCUGGCCCUUGGACUACACAAAGUCUAACAUCAGAGGCGCCAAUCAGCACUGUGAUGUUAUGCAUUCCAAAAGCUGAAAGCGUCUGGCGAAUGAAGCAAGAAACUGCACAAAGGGAAAGUCUGGUGAUUCAGUCAGCUGCUCCAUGCCCAGAGAAGUGGCCUACGGCCCUGCCCUUCCCACAGCACUCUCCAUUCCUCAUGCUGGUGGCCAGCCAUCUACUACAGACAUUACUGAAGAGCAGUACUUGCAUCGUCGCCUUUAGGCAACUGAAAAGUAUGACUGACAUAAAAAUCCAGAGCUUUCAAAUCCAGAGGCCCUCAUUGCUGGUAGAAACAAGAGAGGGAAAUAUAUUCAUAUUCUAGACAGGCACUAGAGAGAGGUUCUCUGCUUAAAACUGGACUAAAUCUCCAGCUUCAUACGUCAACAUGAAGGGAGGAGUAACUCAGCACUGCUCUCUCCAGCAUCACAAGGCUCUGAAGGUACUGCCUCUGACAGACUUUUUUUCUCUGAGUGGAUGAGUUAUUGAUCAAGUAAGAGAUAAAAAAAAUAGGCACUUACUUUGUGCCACAUUGCUCUGGUCAGUGAUAGAAGCUCACUGCUGGAUACCGAUCUUAAUACAAUCUCAUGAACUCAGCAGAUCCUUUUCCUUAGUCUGCACUAAUGUCAUAUUAAGUGUCUUUGUGUUUUUUACCAUAUUAAGCAUUUCUGAAACUUGAAGAUUGAUUUUGGUUUGAUUUUAAAGGGCUGAGAGAUUUUAGAAUUAGAUUUUAAUAGCCAAUUAUAGAUUAUUAAACAGUGGAAAAAAUUUAAAGCCAUUAAAAUAAUCUUUUAAACCUUCCUUAAAAUUACAUGCGAUCCACUGAGAAUAUUCGUCCAGCUGUAUUUGAAAAAUAUUAAUUGGAAGUCAGUGCAAAUAUAAAUGCUAAUGUGAACUUAACCAGAACGUGAGGGUUUCUGAACUGGAAAAGCUCUCAGAGCACACAGAAGUCACCUGUCAAGGUGGUUUUGGGACAACCAUAUGUACUAUGGGAUGACGGAGGGCAAAAAUUACGGGGGGCCACUAUGUGACUAAUUCUGCUUACUUCUAUUUUGUUUGUUUGAACAUCAGAAAUUCCUCACACGUAUCCUGUGUCUUCCAGUGAUUUGUUACACCUCUGUAAAAUACUGAUUUCAUUUCUAAGGGUGUUUCUGCCUUUAAAGAGCAGUAUCUGUCUGGCUCAGUUGGCAGUGCUGACCGGAAUAAAAACAAACAAACAACAAAAAACAAAAAUAAAUGAACAAAUAAAUGAAAAACAUCCCUGAUCAAAUAUCAGUAACUGUUACAGAACAGGAACUAAAAGAGGGGAGAUUUAGGUUAGAUGUUAGGAGGAAAUGCUUUCCCCAGAGGGCAGUGAGGUGCUGACACAGCUGCCCAGAGAAGCUGUGGUGCCCCAUCCCUGGAGGCGCUCAAGGCCAGGUUGGAUGGGGUCCUGGGCAGCCUGAGCUGGUGGGGGGCAGCCCUGCCCACGACAGGGUUUGGAGUAGGGUGGGCUGUGAGGUUCCUUCCAACCCAAAUCAUUCUGUAAUUCUAUGAUUAUGAAUGUUACAUUUCAAUUAAUGUUAUCAUAACAAUGCUAUGGAUAUGAUUUUUCUUAUCUCAGCUUGCUGGGAAAUAGUGUAAAGAAUUUUCUGAAUGGGUAUAGCCUUUGGGGUGCCUGAGAUAAAGUAUUUUCACACACAUCCACCCCAUGUGAAACGUGCAGAAAGCCAAAAUAAACCACUGAAUUGGAUUUUGCCUUCGCUUCAGGAAGGACAGAAUAGUAGGGACUAUUUCUCAUACUUGAUCGCUAAUUUGUUGGCCAGUCAUCGUGGCAAUUAAGGAAAAAUGAUCACCUCAGUCCAAGCUGAGUGAAAUAAAGGGGAGAUUUCUUGUUAUGGCUGGGAAAAUCACAGAAAGCAUCACAGAAAUACGGAAGGAGCUAUGAUGGAUAUGCAUGGAGAAGACAGAGAACAGAUGCAGCAAAUAGGAAGCAUCAACUACUGAUAUGACAGAGAUUCAGAAUCACAGAAUGUCUUAGGUUGGGAGGGACAUCAAAGCCUACCCAGUCCCAACCCCUGCUGUGAACAGGGCUGCC